UACGGAGGGUGCAAGCGUUGCUCGGAAUUAUUGGGCGUAAAGGGCAGGUAGGUGGUCUCAUUUGUCAGGGGUGAAAGCCUUGGGCUUAACUCAAGAAGUGCCCCUGAAACGGUGAGACUGGAGUUCUGGAGAGGGAAGCGGAAUUCCCGGUGUAGUGGUGAAAUGCGUAGAUAUCGGGAGGAACACCAGUGGCGAAGGCGGCUUCCUGGCCGUGUUCUUGACGCUGAGGCGCGAAAGCUAGGGGAGCAAACGGG
rnacentral:rRNA from 1 species